CAGCUUGCUGGAUGCUGACGAGCGGCGGACGGGUGAGUAAUGCAUAGGAGUCUGCCCGAUAGUGGGGGAUAACCUGGGGAAACCCAGGCUAAUACCGCAUACGUCCUACGGGAGAAAGGGGGCUCCGGCUCCCGCUAUGGGAUGAGCCUAUGUCGGAUUAGCUAGUUGGUGAGGUAACGGCUCACCAAGGCCCCGAUCCGUAGCUGGUCUGAGAGGAUGAUCAGCCACAUCGGGACUGAAACACGGCCCGAACUCCUACGGGAGGCAGCAGUGGGGAAUAUUGGACAAUGGGGGCAACCCUGAUCCAGCCAUGCCGCGUGUGUGAAGAAGGCCCUCGGGUUGUAAAUCACUUUCAGCGAGGAAGAACGCCUAGCGGUUAAUACCCGCUAGGAAAGACAUCACUCGCA
rnacentral:rRNA from 1 species